AUAGCAACAAAACUGAUAGUCUUCAUCAGUUGCAAACAUGUUUUAGGUUCAUCUUCCUCUACACUCUGACAAAGACGACCUUCAUAUACCUUCGCUGACACCAAUAAUGAAGUCUCCAGAGAUUGAGAUGCUAGAAUAGACGUGAGGGAUCUCUUUCUAGGUCUUUAAUCGCGACGUUUAAUCUUCCGGUAUAGUCAAUCAUCGAAACGUUUCGAGUUACAGAUUCGUUUCCUCUUAUUGCCUUCUUAACUCCAUCAACCACGAUCUGACAUUAAAUGUAUCUUUCUCUUCUCCAAGUCGGUGUUUUUAAACCUAUAAAAAGGUUAGUUUCCUACCCUUGAAAUCAUUCUCUGGAUCUGUAAAAAUAGCAAAGAAAACUUAUUUAUUGAUGAUUUAUAUGUUAGGAAUCUCAUAAAACUUUCCCUUCCAUAACUCUGAUUGAUAGGGCUUUGUGUCGUUGAUUUCUAUUUGGAUGCUAUUAUCUGAAAUAUCAACAUUUAUUUUUUAUGUCUUUCUCUGUGAAUUAUGUUCUGUUUCAAAUAAAAAAUCUUAUACCUUGGAUUUCGUUUGUCAAAGUGCUCGAUGCCGUUUCUGAUUACCGGGCAAGCUAUUGACUGGUACAGUGAAUGAAAGGAUGAAAUCAGAUCUCUUUUCUUUUCUACUUUUGUUGGUUUGGGAAAACUUUGUAAAUGUCAUGGAGAUGCGUUGUCCAUUUUUUUUUUGUAGUUAGGGAGCUUGAAUCUUGAAGAUAUGCUCAAUGCUGCAUCACCUGGUAUUUGACGAAAUAUCAGUUAUAUCCAAGUCUUGACAGGUUCUUCAAUUUAUGGAGUCACCAGAAUACAAUAGGUUUACACAUAUAGUCCUCGAUACUGCUCCCACGGGACAUACUUUGCGGCCUCUUUCUCUGUCCAAUUUCUAUGAUUCUUCAAUUGGCAAAAUAACAAAGCUCAAGAAGAAGAUCACUGCGGCAGCUUUAGCCUUUACGUCUGUCUUUGGCAAAAAGGAGAUACAACAAGGACCUUCCAACGAGUUGGACCAACUGAAAGAGAGAAUGGAGAAAGUUCUAAAUGUUUUCCGUGAAGUGGACACUACUGAGUUUGUCGUUGUAACCAUAGCAACAUUCUCUUACCUGUUCAUAAGAUCAUUAGUUUACAUGUGGUUACUGAGACGCUUAGCUUUAUUCUUCUACCCCAUUAAGGAUAAAUUUGAAUAGAAGUCGGUCUCUCCUUCUGGCAUAUUCACUUGGCUAUUACCUUUCCUUUUAGGUCAUGGCAAUAAACUGAGUCUUCGGGAUUACAUGCAUCUUUAAGAAAAGAAAAUGUGCCAGUUCACAGGUUUAUUGUUAACCAGCUUCUCCCUCAUUCUGAAUCCGACUGUAAAUUUUGCUCAGUGAGACGAAAGGAACAAACGCGUGUGCUCGGACUUAUUCAGGACGAUACGAAGCAUUUGACUAGGGACAUUUUGAACACGUGUUGCUACAAAAAGCAGCUUCACGGUUGGUAUGAGCUAUACAGUGACAACUAAAUCUGUCUGAGUGUCAAAUGCGUAGCAAAUCCGUUCAAGCUACAACUUGGAUUCUUCUUUUACUUUUUCUUACAAUGUAAUAUAUUUUAUCUUUGCAUUCAGACAUGCAUAAUAGAAACAAACGCGUAGAUAUUAAGAUGGACUGUUUGUCAUUGCAGUGGUAGUUGGCAGAGCACAGUAUGUAGAACUGGUAGAUGGACCACGUCAGAGUUCAUCCGUAUUCUAUGUAAUGCGUUUUCAACUGGUGGAUUUGGCACAAUCGACAUUUUUAACUAUACGUAGUAAUUCAUCUAUUAUUGAUUUUAUGUAACAUAGACAACACAUUUUUGCUUGAUUAUUCAUUGAGAAAGUAAGGAAAUAAGUUUGUCUCUCUCUUUGUUAGAGCCAAUUCGAGUUGAGCACAUUGUGCUUGAAGUGGAUGUUUUGUAAUAGAGAAAUGCAUCUUUGAUUAGAAUAAUUUAACUGAUUUCCACCA